rnacentral:rRNA from 1 species
UACGUAGACCUCAAGCGUUAUCCGGAUUUAUUGGGCGUAAAGCGCGUGUAGGAGGUUUCGCGCGUCUUUGGUUAAAGACCACUGCCUAACAGUGGAAGUGCCAAGGAUACGGCGAGACUAGAGGAAGUUAGAGGUGCAUGGAGCGCACGGUGUAGGGGUGAAAUCCGUUGAUAUCGUGCGAAACACCAAAGGCGAAGGCAAUGCACUGGGACUUUCCUGACUCUGAGACGCGAAAGCGUGGGGAGCAAAAAGG